AUCCCGCAGUAACCGUUUAUUGGAGUGUCCCAUGUAAAUUCUUGUUGUUGUAGACAUUUGUUAUUGAGUGUCAUUGGAAGGCCUUUAACUUGGCGCGUGAUUGUUUUUGGCUGUAGACAAAAAUGAUUGAGAUCUGAUUGGUGGCAGUUUAUGGAGGACUAAAACCACAAUCAAUCAACGAGUCGCUUAAUAUUAUUAAUGAUCUUGAUAGUGUAUGGAAUGUGUCCUACUAGAUGGUUGUUUUUUUCUAAUGAUUCUGCCACUUUGCGAUGAAAACAACGUACAAUUUUGCAGCAUUUCUGUUUCUUCCUUGAUAUUUUUGAUGCACUAUUUAUUUCUCAAUACACGGUGGAUACUCUUAACACAGACGGACAGUACUGUUGACAUCAUUAGAUUGGACUGAACACAACACCUGCAUAGUUUUGGACUAAUGACAACGUUUUGAAGAUAUCAAAUGCAAACUAAGUCCUAGAAGAAUGUCAUCUUUCUUUAACUGGUUGUGUUUUCCAAAUCGCCGUACGAGGUCGAAGCGGAAAACGAAACGGGACAGGAACCAGAAUGAUGACGGCGGAUUCACUUCCGUUCAACAGAAGCGGAAACUGAGCAGACUUGCGCAGUCAGCAGAUCACAUUCGUAAACAAGCCUCUUUUAACGAAAGGGAAGGGAAUUAUACGAUCACAAGUGAGACAAAACAGCCAGACAGCUCGAUACCAAAUAAAAGAAGACGCGUGCAGGAUAUAUUUAACGUAGCGCAUUCUGAUUGUUCUAACAACGUACGAGACUCUGAAACAGGAGACGGUACACCUAUUCGAACGCACGCUGACUUUGGGAGUGAGUACACUCCAAAAAUAUACUGUUAUGAUCAUACUUCCUUCAGACGUACCAGUGAAAGCAUGUAUGGCUAUGUUCCUAAAAUAGUUCAAACGUGCAGCGCGUCGAAAGCACUGGAAGGAGACAGAGUUGACGACUUUUUUUCCAACCUUCAUGAGGAUAAUUCUCUACAUCAGUUUGGAAAUAUGAAUUCGAGAAAUUUCAAACAUAGUCCUUUAGUACCUCGUUUUACUCUUCCACUUUCUCAGAGUCAGACUUCAGUACUUACUGCUGAUAAAAUUUCGCUUAUUGAGAGCGAGGAAACACCAAAUGUCUUGGACUACUGCCAGUUUCCUCCCAAUAUUUCUUCCCGCGUGAACUCUAUUCUAGAAGCUAGUUUUGAUUCCAUGUGGAAUAGCAAUGGAGAAGUUUUGUACUGAACUGAUGCACUCACUGGAUGGCUGCGAUUUCUUAUUUUCGUGAAUUUGUGUUAUGUUCAAAUGCAUUUUAAAGGUUAUUUUCAUUUCAUAUCUUAAUGUUGGUUACUGGUAUCCAACGCGUAAUCUUUCGAAUGAUAAAAAGUUUUAUUGAAAUAAUCAACGAAACUCUAAUUAAAAAUGUAUACUUCUAAA